rnacentral:rRNA from 1 species
GACGAACGCUGGCGGCGUGCUUAACACAUGCAAGUCGAACGGAAAGGCCCUGCUUUUGUGGGGUGCUCGAGUGGCGAACGGGUGAGUAACACGUGAGUAACCUGCUCUUGACUUUGGGAUAACUUCAGGAAACUGGGGCUAAUACCGGAUAGGAGCUCCUGCUGCAUGGUGGGGGUUGGAAAGUUUCGGCGGUUGGGGAUGGACUCGCGGCUUAUCAGCUUGUUGGUGGGGUAGUGGCUUACCAAGGCUUUGACGGGUAGCCGGCCUGAGAGGGUGACCGGCCACAUUGGGACUGAGAUGCGGCCCAGACUCCUACGGGAGGCAGCAGUGGGGAAUAUUGCACAAUGGGCGGAAGCCUGAUGCAGCAACGCCGCGUGCGGGAUGACGGCCUUCGGGUUGUAAACCGCUUUCGCCUGUGACGAAGCGUGAGUGACGGUAAUGGGUAAAGAAGCACCGGCUAACUACGUG